rnacentral:rRNA from 1 species
GGAGUAUGGGCCGUGUCUCAGUCCCAUUGUGGCUGAUCAUCCUCUCAAACCAGCUACUGAUCGUCGCCUUGGUGGUCCAUUACACCCCCAACUAGCUAAUCAGAUGCAGACUCAUCCUAAAGCGAUAAAUCUUUCACGAAUAGUAUCUCAACUACGCGCAUAUGGGGUAUUAGCAGAAGUUUCCCUCUGUUGUCCCCCGCUUUAGGGCAGAUUCUCUACAUAUUACUCACCCGUCCGCCACUUAUGUAUUCCCGAAGGAACCUUAUCGUUCGACUUGCAUGUAUGAAGCACGCCGCCAGCGUUCGUC